UACGUAGGGGGCAAGCGUUGUCCGGAAUCAUUGGGCGUAAAGAGCGUGUAGGCGGCCAGACAGGUCCGUUGUGAAAACUCGAGGCUCAACCUCGAGACGCCGAUGGAAACCGUCUGGCUAGAGUCCGGAAGAGGAGAGUGGAAUUCCUGGUGUAGCGGUGAAAUGCGCAGAUAUCAGGAAGAACACCCGUGGCUAAGGCGGCUCUCUAGUACGGUACUGACGCUGAGACGCGAAAGCGUGGGGAGCGAGCAGG
rnacentral:rRNA from 1 species